rnacentral:rRNA from 1 species
GACGAACGCUGGCGGCGUGGAUUAGGCAUGCAAGUCGAACGGUAUCAUCCUUUCGGGGGUGAGAGAGUGGCGAACUGGUGAGUAACACGUAGGUUAUCUACCCUCAAGACGGGGACAACCCAGGGAAACUUGGGCUAAUACCGGAUGUGAGCAACUUUUAGUUGUUUGAAAGGUUGGCGUAAGCUGUCGCUUGGGGAUGAGCCUGCGUCCUAUUAGUUAGUUGGUGAGGUAACGGCUCACCUAGGCAAUGAUAGGUAGGCGGCCUUAACGGGUGGUCGCCCACACUGGGAUUGAGAUACGGCCCAGACUCCUACGGGAGGCAGCAGUCGAGAAUAGUCUACAAUGGUCGGAAGACUGAUAGUGCGACGCCGCGUGAACGAUGAAUCCCUUCGGGGUUAAAAGUUCUUUUAUAUGUGAGCAGUGCUUCUUAUAUUAACAGUAAUGGGGAAGAGAUAUUAGCAUAUGAAUAAGCAAACGGCUAAACUCCGUGCCAGCAGCCGCGGUAAUA